UUUAAAUUCAUAUGAAAAAAGAAGGGGGCCCGAGGUUCGAGAACAAGCUCUGUGUGAAGACAUGCUCGGCCUCCUGAGGACUGCAGACCUGCAAACUGAGACCCCAGGAGCACAUGGCCUGCUCAGAGCUUGGCUGGGCCUGGGCAUGUGGAGGACUGGGAGGAACAAGAAGUGGCAGUCUCCGCCCAGCAGCUCCACUGCUGAAUCCCCUGCCUGACUCCAACCUUUACCCCUCGCAACUUGAAAAAUGAUCAGAGACACCAAAGGACUUUGCCUGGGGGUUCCAACUACCAAGGUGGAUGCCUGUUAGUAGACUUUAUUAGAAAUUAGACUGGAUAUUUGAAAGACAUUUAUUCAUUUCAAGAUAACAAUGAACCAUGAUGUUACACUGGUAACAAUUCUGUGAAAAAUAUAUUUUCCCAAAUAAGAAGGUUUUGGUGAGAAGAGAGAGUGGCACUGCUCUUCAGGGAAGCCACCUGGGCCACCUGCACCACCUGCUGUGGGCACUGUUGGGCUGAGUCUGGAGUGACUCGGAAACCAGUGUCUGGGGAAAGAACCAGAGAAGACAGAACUGGGCGCAGAGGCUGAGGCGGAACUCAGGAGUGUGGUUCUUCACAUGCAGGCAAGGCCUCUGCAGCCACCACCACCACCUGCCUUCUGCGUCCUUGUGAUCUGCCUGUUACCCGCCCUUCAGUGACUGCCACUGUGGCUUUGUGACUCACUGCGACGGGCAUCUUCCUGGCACCAACACAAUUCACCCAGCAGCAUCAAUCACGUUUGCUGAUGUCACCAUGGGUCCCCGCAGAGAAGCCUGCAAGUAGGGAAGUUCCAAGCUCCUGGUGGGGACAAGUUUUUCAGGAUUCUGAUUUUUGCAUGAAAGUUUAGAUUUCGUCACUGGUAAAUGCUGCCAGUUGUCUCCCUUGGGGGACAGGCCCAUUUUCAAGACGGUAUCUGCCAGAUGCCCAUGGCAGAAUACCCAGUCUGCCACUUGCGUCUGUGGGAUCCCAUUGUGUCUGUGGGACCUGCUCCUGGCAGGCAGCCCCCACUGCUACGCACACGCUCACCUCCACCCACUCUCACUGGCUCUUCACGACACUUUCUGCUUGGUCACACAGAACCUCAAAGGCCAAGACCUAGUGCUGCCUUCUCCAGGACAUUCUUAAGAGAAACUGGCAUGUGCCGCUGUAGGGCGGGGGGGG
rnacentral:lncRNA from 1 species